AGUGAACGCUGGCGGUAGGCCUAACACAUGCAAGUCGAACGGCAGCACAGUAAGAGCUUGCUCUUACGGGUGGCGAGUGGCGGACGGGUGAGGAAUACAUCGGAAUCUACUUUUUCGUGGGGGAUAACGUAGGGAAACUUACGCUAAUACCGCAUACGACCUACGGGUGAAAGCAGGGGAUCUUCGGACCUUGCGCGAUUGAAUGAGCCGAUGUCGGAUUAGCUAGUUGGCGGGGUAAAGGCCCACCAAGGCGACGAUCCGUAGCUGGUCUGAGAGGAUGAACAGGCAAAAUGGAACAGGAACAAGGGCCAGACUCCUAAGGGAGGCAGCAGUGGGGAAUAUUGGACAAUGGGCGCAAGCCUGAUCCAGCCAUACCGCGUGGGUGAAGAAGGCCUUCGGGUUGUAAAGCCCUUUUGUUGGGAAAGAAAAGCAGCAGGUUAAUACCCCGCUGUUCUGACGGUACCCAAAGAAUAAGCACCGGCUAACUUCGUG
rnacentral:rRNA from 1 species